AGAUUGCAGCCUCUGCCCGGCCGCCACCCUGUCUGGGAAGUGAGGAGCGCCUCUUCCCGGCCGCCCAUUGUCUGGGAUGUGAGGAGCCCCUCUGCCUGGCUGCCCAGUCUGGAAAGUGAGGAGCGUCUCUGCCGGGCCGCCAUCCCAUCUAGGAAGUGAGGAGCGCCUCUUCCCGGCCGCCAUCCCAUCUAGGAAGUGAGGAGCGUCUCUGCCCGCUGCCCAUCGUCUGAGAUGUGGGGAGCGCCUCUGCCCUGCUGCCCCGUCUGGGAUGUGAGGAGCGUCUCUGCCCGGCUGCCCCGUCUGAGAAGUGAGGAGACCCUCUGCCUGGCAACUGCCCCGUCUGAGAAGUGCGGAGCCCCUCCGCCCGGCAGCCACCCCGUCUGAGAAGUGAGGAGCCCCUCCCCCUGGCAGCCACCCCAUCUGGGAAGAAACCAACUAUCAGGCCUCCCAGAUAGUAUCAAGGAACUGAAACUUCCCAGAUCACAGCAUCUGUACAAUGAGACACCAGACCCUUCACUGGUCAUGAUUACCUGACCACCUGCCACCUGCUUCCUGCUGAACAACUCUUCUUUCUUAUCCUCCCCUAAUUCCUGUUUUCCUGUAUGUAGCUACAUUUCUUUUCUGCUGUAUAAACUCCUAAUUUUAGUUGGUCACGGAGAUGGAUUUGAAGCUGAUCUCCCACCUCCAUGGCUGCAGUACCUGAUUAAAGCUUUCUUUCCUGGCAGUACUGGUUGUCUCAGUGACUGGCUUUCUGUGCAGCCAGCAGCAAGACCUAGACAAAACCCCUGGUGUUUUGGUAAUAAUGUCACAGAACUUGCCAGAAAUCAGCCAUCUAAGGUUCUUGGGAAAGCUAUUUACAGGAAAGUGUCCCACCAGAGGCUCCUUUCUGAAAAUAAUGCCAGAGAAGAGUGUUGGGAGACGUUCCUGGCUACUGGCAAUGAAGUAGUAGGCAGGCGCUGGACAAGCCCCUUGUUCUGCAGAAGCCUGUCUACCAAGCACACUAAAAUUGGAAAGGAAAGCCCAUUCCAUGCAGGAA
rnacentral:lncRNA from 10 species